rnacentral:lncRNA from 1 species
ACAUGGUGGCCCACAAUCAUCUGUAAUGGGAUCUGAUGCCCUCUUCUGGUGUGAUUUAGAAGAGCGACAGUGUACUCACAUACAUAUAUACAUACAUACAUACAUACAUACAUCUUUUAAAAAAAAAGAAAAUUGUCAGGCAUUUUAAGGCAUGUCUUAUAUUAAAUCAAAUCGCCUUUCUUUAGGGACCUUUCUCAUAUCUGUUGAUUACAUUUCUCAUAAUAUACUUGGAUCUGGGUCUACAAUGUUUGGGUUUGUUUGUGAUAUUUUAUUGUUGGCAUUUUUGUUUGUGGUUUUGGGGGUUGUUUGGAUUUUAUCCUUUAUUUGCUCAGAGUCAAGGACAUUCAGUUGUCUUUAGUCUAUGGUUGGUGAAUAUUUCUGUGUCUGUGUGUCUAUUUGUUUCUUCUUCAACCAUGUAGUCCCAGGGGCCGAACUCACACCAUCAGGCUUGACAUCAAGUGCCUUUAUCUGCUGAGUCAUCUUCAGGCCCACGUUUGUGGUCUUAACUGUUUAUGACUUGAGUCAUUUCAAAAUAGGGGCAUUUGUGAAGUUCACUGGAAAGCCUUCCUCCAAUCAUUUGGCUUCCAUGAAGCAGUGCUAGGGAUGGAGAAGUGUGCAGAGAUUCUAGGCCAGUUUUAAUAGCUAUACGCUUGGGCAUGUUCCUGCAUUUCCUUUUCUUAUAAACAACAAAUAGUAAUAAGACUACCGUGUGAUCUUAUGAGAACUCAUGCAAGUUAACACUGUAUGUGGCAUGUGGAAAGGCUGCUGCUGUUGCUGGCAUUGCCAUGCUACUGUAGAACAGUAGAGAUAGGACCAUAGGACAGAGUGUUCUGAAAUCUCUGAAGAAUAGUAGAUAAGGCAAGACCUGGUACAGAGCCACAAUUCAGAAACCAGAGGUGAGAAGCUAAACUACCCGUUUGGUACCAAAGUAUACAUAGCAAAAUUGGGUAUACACCAAGCCUAUUAAAUAGGCUUUGUAAAAAAUUUUUUUAAAUUGUACUUAGUAUGAUUAUUCUUACAGUUAUGUGGUUUUUUUUGUAUAGCAAGGUUGGGUUUGAUAAGAUAUGGGGUUCAUCUAAAUUUUUGCAUUGCCGGGAAAAACAUAGGGCCUUCCUCAUGAAAGUUUUUGAAUUCCCUAAACUCAUUUGACCACAAUAACUUCAAUUACGGGAAUAUGUGUUUAGAGUCUCCAAAGUAAUCACAAAGAUUGGCCUAGGGUAGUUCAGCAAUAUAGUACUUGCCUGACAUGCACCAAGUUCAAUCCCAGCACCACAAAAACAAAUUAUAAAAAAUAAAAAAAAAGGAAGGGAAAAGAAGUUACUCUUUCUGGGCCUUCAAAAUGACUCAGUGAGAAAAAAUGUGCUGGCCUCUAACCAAUCAAUCCGUCAAUUUCCAGGACCCACUUGGUAAAAGGAAAGAACUGAUUCCUUUAGACUGUCCUCUGAUCUACAUAUGCACACUUUAUUUAGCAUGCAUGCAUACAUAGUAAUAGUUUAAAAUGUAAUUUUUAAAAGAAUUUUAAAUAAGCUGGGUUAUAGUGGUACACACCUUUAAUCCCAGCACCCAGGAGAUAGAGGCAGGUGAAUCUCUAGAUCAAGGACAGCCAGGGCUACACAGAGAAACCCUGUCUCAGAGGAAAAAAAAAUUUUAAUUAAAUAAAAGGAAAACACAAGAAGGGUUAGAAGCAUAAGACUGCCAGGUUCAAUAUUAGACAAAUACUAAGGAAUUGGGAAGAUUCAAGGUCAAUAAACUAUCUGAUGCUGGGACCAAGACAUCUGUCAUAAACUUUUUAAAUGUCCUUCCUUGGGUAAAAUUAAUGUUGCUCCUCUAUCGUUAAGAAGAAAGAGCUGCUGUGUCAUUGAAUUAAAGAGAGCUGCCUUCUUUCUUGGGAGUAGGGAUGGCCUGGAAGAUCCCCUGGAAGAUACAGGUCUGGUCCAGCAACAGCUGGACCAGCUGUCCACCAUCGGGCGUUGUGAGUAUGAGAAGACAUGCGCGCUCCUUGUGCAGCUAUUUGACCAGUCGGCCCAGUCGUACCAAGAACUGCUGCAGAGUGCCAGUGCCAGCCCAAUGGACAUUGCAGUGCAGGAGGGUGAGUGCAGUGUGCAGUGAGCAUAGGUACUGUCAGUCCCCUUUGCCUUUCUCUGCCUCCCUUUGCUCCCCUACC